rnacentral:rRNA from 1 species
UACGUAGGGUGCGAGCGUUGUCCGGAAUUAUUGGGCGUAAAGAGCUCGUAGGCGGUCGUGUCGCGUCGGUCGUGAAAACCUGCAGCUUAACUGUGGGCGUGCGGUCGAUACGGGCAUGACUGGAGUUCGGCAGGGGAGACUGGAAUUCCUGGUGGUAGCGGUGAAAUGCGCAGAUAUCGGGAAGAACACCUGUGGCGAAGGCGGCUCUCUGGGACGGUACUGACGCUGAGACGCGAAAGCGUGGGGAGCAAACAGG